rnacentral:lncRNA from 10 species
AAAGAAAGAAUAGAAAAUAUCAGAGUACAUAACAAGUAGUAAAGGAAGUCACCAUCUUCGGUGGGGACCUUUCUCAGACAAUCUAUUCUUCCACAAUUCUCCUUGAGCAACCAAGAUAUUAACGGGGAAGACUUGAAGUUUCUAUGCUGCUUGAUCCAGAAUUUUCUCACCAUGGAUGUGGGGUUCUCACCUUUGAAGGAAAUGGAAACGGUACAAACCAGCAUUUGAGUGAAUGAACACUGAAAAUGCAUGCUGCAACCAACCACUGGAUCAGGGUACAAGACAAAUAAUGGUUCUAGUGGAACUUGGGGGAAAAGCACUUUUACAUGGAAUUUAAUAUAUUGUUCCCUGACUUAUCUUUGUUUAUGAUUCUAUAGUUGGAUAAUUGUUUUCCUCAAUCCUAUGACAAAAAGAGUUGGAGGCGUCAGGAAGAGCAAGAACAAUUUGGCUCUCAGUGAAUUUUUAAUAAAC